rnacentral:rRNA from 1 species
GACGAACGCUGGCGGCGUGCCUAAUACAUGCAAGUCGAACGAACCGCGACUAAGUGCUUGCACUAAGUCAAGGUGAGUGGCGAACGGGUGAGUAACACGUGGGUAACCUACCUCAUAGUGGGGGAUAACAGUCGGAAACGACUGCUAAUACCGCAUAGGACAUAGGAUCACAUGAUCCAGUGAGGAAAGGUGGCGCAAGCUAUCGCUAAGAGAUGGACCCGCGGUGCAUUAGCUAGUUGGUAGGGUAAAGGCCUACCAAGGCGAUGAUGCAUAGCCGACCGGAGGGGGGGAACGGCCACUGUGGGAGUGAGACACGGCCCAAACACCUACGGGAGGCAGCAGUAGGGAAUCUACCGCAAAGGACGGAAGUCUGACGGAGCAACGCCGCGUGAGUGAAGAAGGUCUGCGGAUCGUAAAGCUCUGUUGUUAGAGAAGAACAGCGCAUAGAGUAACUGCUAUGCGUGUGACGGAAUCUAACCAGAAAGCCACGGCUAACUACGU